rnacentral:rRNA from 1 species
CGUACACUCCUGCGGGAGGCAGCAGUGGGGAAUUUUGGACAAUGGGCGAAAGCCUGAUCCAGCCAUGCCGCGUGCAGGAUGAAGGCCUUCGGGUUGUAAACUGCUUUUGUACGGAACGAAACGGCCUUUUCUAAUAAAGAGGGCUAAUGACGGUACCGUAAGAAUAAGCACCGGCUAACUACGUGCCAGCAGCCGCGGUAAUACGUAGGGUGCAAGCGUUAAUCGGAAUUACUGGGCGUAAAGCGUGCGCAGGCGGUUAUGUAAGACAGUUGUGAAAUCCCCGGGCUCAACCUGGGAACUGCAUCUGUGACUGCAUAGCUAGAGUACGGUAGAGGGGGAUGGAAUUCCGCGUGUAGCAGUGAAAUGCGUAGAUAUGCGGAGGAACACCGAUGGCGAAGGCAAUCCCCUGGACCUGUACUGACGCUCAUGCACGAAAGCGUGGGGAGCAAACAGGAUUAGAAACCCCUGUAGUCCCA